GUGACACAUUUGCCACUGUUCCAUUAUCUCUAAUAAGGACAACCAGAAGGGUAAACUGGUAAAUCAAAACACAUGUAACAAAUGGUUUGGAAGUUUGAACCGUCCUGAUGCUAUGGAAGGAUAAGGAGGGAUUUGCAUGAGACAAUGAAAAUGAAGGCUGGGAGGAUAUUGUUGCAUCUUCUUUGUUUGAAUGUGGUUACCUUUGGAGUGAUUGCUGGUCCGCAAACAUGUCCUGCAUCGGAUCUUGAAAGUGGGUGUAGUGAUUCUGAAGAAUGGAAAGGGGAAUUUUUCCCUGGAAUUCCCAAAAUUAAGUAUGAGGUAGAAAGACUUAUGAAACAUUUCUCUU